rnacentral:lncRNA from 1 species
CUGAGGCUGGGAGUACUCUCUGAGGUGGUCUCAGUGGUGGUGAUUGAAGAAGUGAAGCCAGGAGUACUGUGUGAGGUGGUCUCGGUGGUGGUGAUCGAAGAAGUGAAGCUGGGAGUACUGUGGGAUGUGGUCUCAGUGGUGGUGAUCGAAGAACUGAAGCUGGGAGUACUGCUUGAGGGGGUCUCGGUGGUGGUGAUUGAGGAAGUGAAGCUGGGAGUACUGUGUGAGGGGGUCUCGGUGGUGGUGAUUGAGGUAGUGUAGCUGAGAGUACUGUGUGAGGGGGUCUCGGUAGUGGUGAUUGAAGAAGUGAAUCUGGGAGUACUGUGUGAGGGGGUCUCGGUGGUUGCGAUUGAAGAAGUGAAGCUAGGAGUACUGUGUGAGGUGAUCUUGGUGGUCGUGGUUA